rnacentral:rRNA from 1 species
GACGAACGCUGGCGGCGUGCUUAACACAUGCAAGUCGAACGGAAAGGCCCUGCUUUUGUGGGGUGCUCGAGUGGCGAACGGGUGAGUAACACGUGAGUAACCUGCCCUUGACUUUGGGAUAACUUCAGGAAACUGGGGCUAAUACCGGAUAGGAGCUCCUGCUGCAUGGUGGUGGUUGGAAAGUUUCGGCGGUUGGGGCUGGACUCGCGGCUUCUCAGCUGGUUGGUGGGGUAGUGGCUUACCAAGGCUUUGACGGGUAGCCGGCCUGAGAGGGUGACCGGGGACAUUGGGACUGAGAGACGGCGCAGACUCCUACGGGAGGCAGCAGUGGGGAAUAUUGCACAAUGGGCGGAAGCCUGAUGCAGCAACGCCGCGUGCGGGAUGACGGCCUUCGGGUUGUAAACAGCUUUCGCCUGUGACGAAGCGUGAGUGACGGUAAUGGGUAAAGAAGCACCGGCUAACUACGUG